rnacentral:misc_RNA from 1 species
UCUCCGUUGGUGAACCAGCGGAGGGAUCAUUACCGAGUUUACAACUCCCAAACCCCUAUGUGAACGUUACCAAACUGUUGCCUCGGCGGGAAAUUCAUGCCUCGGGCGCGUCGCAGCCCCGGACCAAGGCGCCCGCCGGAGGACCAACCAAAACUCUUUUGUAUGUCCCUCGCGGACUUUUAUAAUUCUGAACCAUCUCGGCGCCCCUAGCGGGCGUUUCGAAAAUGAGUCAAAACUUUCAACAACGGAUCUCUUGGUUCUG